GUGUUAUUGGAGUAGUUAAAUAUUUAAUUGAUUAAGUAUUAAUAAUUAUAUAAUAAAAAUAAUUUUUCUUUUAGUAGAUGUUUAUUGAAUAGAGUAAUUUGAUUAUAUUUAUAGUUUAUGAGUACCGUAAGGGUAACGAUUUGUUAAUGGUUUAAGUAAAAUUAAUUAUUUGUACCUUUUGUAUCAGGGUUUAUCAAUUCAUAUUAAUUAUUAUUAAUUUUCCCGAAAUCAUUGGAGAUACCAAGGAUUAAUAAAAUUAGCUGUUAUAUAACGUUAUAUAGUUAUUUAUAAGCUUUUGGUAGGGGUUAUAUGCUAUUCAACAUUGAAUAUCUGGUUUCUUAAUAAUUGAAUUUAAUUCAGGCUUAGUUUCGAAUUGGUUAUAGAGGCAGUGCCUAAUUUUAUUGGUUUAUAUAUAUGUGCUUUAACUAAGCUAAUGUUCUGGGGGAUUAGCUCUGGUUCAAUUUAUUAUAGCUUAAAUGUUGUUUUACCCACGAAUUGAGUAGGUUUAGUAACGUCCAUCAUUUAUUUCGUUAUAGUAUUUUUUGUGGGUUAUAGUAUUUAUUUGUAUUCUGGCUUAAAUAUUUAUUAAGACGUUUAUGGUUAAUAAUUAUUCUUAAGUGAUAAUGAUAAAAUUAGUAAUUAUAUAUAUGUAGUUUAUAGGAACUCGGCAAAUAUUGAUGUCCGCCUGUUUAACAAAAACAUGUCCUAUUGUUAUUGGUGUUUAUAUUAGGUCGGGCCUGCUCAAUGAUUGAAUUGUUGUUGGAUUAAAUAGCCGCAGUAUUUUGACUGUGCAAAGGUAGCAUAAUCAUUUGUCUUUUAAUUGUAGGCUUGUAUGAAUGGUUUGACGAGAUGUCAGCUUUCUUUAAGCUAAUUUAUUGAAUUUAAUUUUUAAGUUAAAAAGCUUAAAUGUUAUUGUAGGACGAGAAGACCCUAUAGAAAUUUAUUAAUAAAGUGUUGUAUCUUUUGCUUAGGGUAAGUAAAGUUUUAAUUGGUAACUUUAUUAAUUGCGUUGGGGUGAUGGGGAAAUUUUAUUAACUUUCUUUGUUAGAUUUGUUUAUUGAUUUAUAUAUAUUGAGAUCCUGUGUUUAUGGAUAGUAAGAUUAAUUUACCUUAGGGAUAACAGCGUAAUUCCUUUGGAGAGUUCAUAUCGAUGAAGGAGUUUGCGACCUCGAUGUUGGAUUAAAAUUAGCUUUAGGUGUAGUAGCUUAAGUUUGCUGGGUCUGUUCGACCCUUAAUAUUUUACAUGAUCUGAGUUCAGACCGGCGUAAGCCAGGUUGGUUUCUAUCCUUAAUCCUUUGUUUUACACUUUAGUACGAAAGGACCAGGUGUAAUAUUGAUUAUAUCUGUGAUUUGAUUAUUAUUAAAUGUUUAUGCUUAGAAUAAUUUG
rnacentral:rRNA from 1 species